UAUAUCGAUUUCUUGAAAGAAAACAUUCAACUGAAAAUGACUGAAAGGAACAUAAAAUGGCGAUUUCAAUCAUCAAAACCCACAUUUUUCCUGCAAACACAACACUCCAGAUCGGAGCUUCUAUGGCCAAACAGCUCAAAUAAUGCUAGUCGUUGCCGUCGAUGAUUCCCCCACUUUCCUUUUCUUCUAUUGUCUCAUCCUCUUCCUUUUCUUCCUUGUUCUCUUCCGCUUCGCCCUUCUUUUCUUCUUCCUCCUCCUCCUUUUUCUCCUAUGUUCCGACGUUGUUCACCUCAUCUUUGCUCUCAUAUGUCCUCCUUGAACUCGUUGCAGGAUGCUGAGCGCCCAACGGGGCCUGCCGCUGAAACUGUGAUAGUGUUGGGUCAGCAGGGACGGCUAUGUGGAGGCCGGAGAAGGUCGAGGUGAUGGAGCAGCAUUGCAGGAGAGGCCCACCAGUUACCAUGGUGACUGGUUUUCAGGUCUUCCUCUGUACUAGUGAUCCAGGGAUCCUUUUGAGCUUAAACUUACUGUCUGAUUAUAUAGAUCCAGGUGUUCUUCUGAAGCAUGAUCCCUUACGUGUGUAUAUAUAGUUUACAGAUACUACUGGUAGUGGUUGAAUCAUGGUAUAACAAUAAAUGCUUUUCUAUGCUUUUAGUUGUUUAUGGAUGAAGAAUGUUGUACAGUAAUGAGGUCUUCAUGGUAUUCCCAUAAUGCUUUUGUACUUU